rfam:Ophiophagus hannah scaffold2649.1, whole genome shotgun sequence.
UCCAAUAUGGCUGCAACAUCUGUCAACCCAUUGAUUGCCAGGUUGAUUCGGCUGAUCUGGCUGGCUAAGGUGGGUGUCCCCGUCCUCCCUCACCGCUCCAAUUUUUGUCCCUUCCAAAGCUGCAUGCUCAGUGGAAGAGUCCAUCCCAGAUAGGAGUAUAGCAGUCUUUGGUCAAGGCUCAAGGGUAUACGAUAGCUGCUCUCCUCUGGUAGAACAUCCAGACAAACAUGCCACUUGGAAGGGAUCUUCAUUCCAACCAUU